rnacentral:tRNA from 1 species
GCGUUUUUAGUUUAAUGGUAGAACAGGUCGUUUCGACCGACCUGAUAUAGGUUCGAAUCCUGUAAAACGUGC